UACAGAGGUGGCAAGCGUUGCUCGGAAUUACUGGGCGUAAAGGGCGCGUAGGCGGCCAUCUAAGUCAGACGUGAAAUCCCCCGGCUUAACCUGGGAACUGCGUCUGAUACUGGACGGCUUGAGUAUGGGAGAGGGAUGUAGAAUUCCAGGUGUAGCGGUGAAAUGCGUAGAUAUCUGGAGGAAUACCGGUGGCGAAGGCGGCAUCCUGGACCAUUACUGACGCUGAGGCGCGAAAGCUAGGGGAGCAAACGGG
rnacentral:rRNA from 1 species